GAUGAACGCUGGCGGCGUGCCUAAUACAUGCAAGUCGAGCGAACAGACGAGGAGCUUGCUCCUCUGACGUUAGCGGCGGACGGGUGAGUAACACGUGGAUAACCUACCUAUAAGACUGGGAUAACUUCUGGAAACCGGAGCUAAUACCGGAUAAUAUAUUGAACCGCAUGGUUCAAUAGUGAAAGACGGUUUUGCUGUCACUUAUAGAUGGAUCCGCGCCGCAUUAGCUAGUUGGUAAGGUAACGGCUUACCAAGGCAACGAUGCGUAGCCGACCUGAGAGGGUGAUCGGCCACACUGGAACUGAGACACGGUCCAGACUCCUACGGGAGGCAACAGUAGGGAAUCUUCCGCAAUGGGCGAAAGCCUGACGGAGCAACGCCGCGUGAGUGAUGAAGGUCUUCGGAUCGUAAAACUCUGUUAUUAGGGAAGAACAAAUGUGUAAGUAACUAUGCACGUCUUGACGGUACCUAAUCAGAAAGCCACGGCUAACUACGUG
rnacentral:rRNA from 1 species